UUUUAGCUCAGUAUCGAGUUAAUGUUUAUUCACACUUCUCGAGAAGAAAAAAAAAUCAUCAGUUUCACUCUUCCCAUUCCAUUCCAUUCCAUCUGAAACACAUUUGGGUUUCGAAAUUGAAAGCUAUAAAAAACCAAUUAGCCUCCUCAAAGAAUUUGGCAUUAAGGCUCUGCUGCAUUCAGGAUUGACAAGGGAAUUUAGGGCUUCCACAAUCUCCAUGUCCGCUUGGCAGUGAUUAGGAUUCGCUCCGUGUCUGUAAUCCGGGCUUUCGUCUCCAUUCUACCAAUUCUUCAGAAGCCGCAUUACCUCUGUUUCAUUCUGAUGUUGUGCAUACCUGCCAUUCGUUUAUGCCCGCCCGCGAAAUCCCUUCUUCGACUCUUGGUUCCUUCAUUCAAUUCACCUAAAGACACUCUUGCGAGUAAGUUUGGACAACCGUUGUGAGUUCUCCACCAUUAAUCUCUCACCUGCGAUUUCGCCUCUGUUGAUGCUGCAAAGAGCGAACGGAUCGUUGAAUCGCCGGUGCGGCACAAGUCAAUUGACCAGUCUCUCCUGUGUUUUCCCCGACGUUGUGCUAUUUGAAAAUUCCUUUCCUAAGUUUCGUUUAUGACUCUUGGUGAAGUUCAUUGGCCCUUAUGCCAUAAAUUAAUGUUUACUGCUCUUAUUCUUCUCAUUGACAGAUUUUGCAAAGAUUAGAAAGGGAAAGAUAUUGUCGUCCUCGCUAUCCAUGGAAGCAAGGAGAUGCAGUAACCUUAUCAGCCAAAGUAAAAAAGAUUCUCUCACUUCAAUCUUAGUUCCUACUUCCAAACCAAGCACCAGUGCACCACAAUCGUUGCUUCUUCUUCCUUAUUACAAUUUCAAUUUUGAUCUUUUGACUUUCACAAUUCACUGUCAUUUUUCUUUACCAUCAUGGUUGCGAUUUUGGGCUUUGAGAUGAUAAAUAAUUCUGCUUUAGAUUUUUAUUUUCAAACUAUUGCAGAAUUGUUUAGGGGAAGGUAAAUGAUUUUGUUCAUAAUUUCGAUUUUUAAGUUUAUUUUGAUUUUCUGAUUGACUAAGUGGAUUUUGGUGAUCUUCGCUGCAGUCUUGCUGUGGCAUGGGAGGUCAAUUGUUUUUUAGCAUUUUACUAUCAGAGUGCAGGUUCAUCUUCUCUGCACGCUUGGUUCCUGGGGACUUAAGCAGAGAGGGAAAUUGAAUGUAGGCAAAAAUGACAUGGAUAGUGGUUUAAAGUGGGGUUAGUCAUUCCCAAAGAUGAGAUACUUCUCUCACUUAUUUGAAGUUAUAAAUCAUGUAUUGUGUUUCUAACAAUCUCACUAAAUAGAAUAAGAGAGCGGCAAGUAGAGAAAUAUGAUUUAGUAUCAAAUGAUAUCUCAUGUCAUGUACCAUUUCGUGUCAUGUCUUUAUGCAGGAUCGUUAAUUUAGAAAACUGAAGAAGCUAUAACCAGAUUCGGUUAUGGAUUUCAUUUGCUAAAUAUUUCCAACUUUUAAUCUUGCUUAAAGUGUCUUUAAGAGUAAGUUACAAAGUAAAGUGUCUCAAGUUGAAUCUUGAGAGACUACAACUCUCUAUUUGUUCAUCUUUUAUUGUGGAUUUAACUCAAGGUGAAUGUUGAUAAACAGAGGAUGAGAACUCAGAUCAGUGAUUCUUUGAAUUGUUUUUUCAGUCAGGUUUUGGGGGCGGGAUUGGAGGUCACCAUCAUAUCUGCGCGUGUUAUAUGGCUUCUUGCAUCAGAUUUGAAUUUUCUAAACCCACUCUCUAUUCUUCUUUGAUUCUUCCUGAUACUGUAUAAGCAUGUGAAAUCUAAGUUGUCUUCAUCCUUCUGUUGGACGCUCAUGUGAGAAAACUGUCGAGGGGCCUCAGUGGGAGUCGGAAAUCUGCAUUUUGGUGUGUUUAAGGUUUUGUUUGUUUUAAUCAGUAGAUAGCUGUUUCAGUUCAUUUUCAUUAUAUUCUUCAAUACUUUAUGGGAAUCACAGGUUGUUGAACAACUUUAGGACUUAGGAGGAACAUCACAAUUAAGACCAACGUCACCUUUCAGAAGCACUAUCUGGGUUUGGAGUUGCCUUGCUACUUUCAAUGGAGUAAAUUUAGAGAGAUGUAUCAGCUGGAGGCAGUGAAGCAGCAACCUGAAGGUUGAACUGUGCUUUUUAAGAAAUCCUCUAGAAUAGGUCCAGCUUUAACCCCCCUACUUAAAACUCAAGUAGUUGGCCUGUAAAAGUGAUUUUGAAUUACACUUUCCAAAGUGGGGAGCAUUUCUUAACAAUCGUCAAGGUGAUAAACAAUGCUGUAGAGAUACCUAGCCUCAACACUUUAUGAUGCAUAUGACAUAGAAUGCUGGUGACAAUACUUUCUCCUCAAGCUGUAACUAUUUUCUCUUAUUUCCAUUCAUGAUAUCAGACUAAACUUAGGAAGAUUGUGAUUUCUUAUGUUAAAGUAUAUGACUAAACUCAUCAAUAAUAAAA